rnacentral:rRNA from 1 species
CCCCUACGGGAGGCAGCAGUCGGGAAUAUUGCGCAAUGGAGGAAACUCUGACGCAGUGACGCCGCGUGCAGGAAGAAGGUUUUCGGAUUGUAAACUGCUUUAGACAGGGAAGAAAAAAGACAGUACCUGUAGAAUAAGCUCCGGCUAACUACGUGCCAGCAGCCGCGGUAAUACGUAGGGAGCAAGCGUUAUCCGGAUUUAUUGGGUGUAAAGGGUGCGUAGGCGGUCCUGCAAGUCUGGAGUGAAACGCAUGAGCUCAACUCAUGCAUGGCUUUGGAAACUGGAGGACUGGAGAGCAGGAGAGG